rnacentral:rRNA from 1 species
AUUGAACGCUGGCGGCAGGCCUAACACAUGCAAGUCGAGCGAGCGGCGGACGGGUGAGUACUGUCUGGGAAACUGCCUGUUGGAGGGGGAUAACUACUGGAAACGGUAGCUAAUACCGCAUACGAUCAGAUGUGCCCAGCUGGGAUUAGCUGGUGGGUGGGGUAACGGCUCACCUAGGCGACGAUCCAUAGCUGGUCUGAGAGGAUGACCAGCCACACUGGAACUGAGACACGGUCCAGACUCCUACGUGAGGCAGCAGUGGGGAAUAUUGGACAAUGGGCGCAAGCCUGAUACAGCCAUGCCGCGUGUGUGAAGAAGGCCUUCGGGUUGUAAAGCACUUUCGGCGGGGAGGCGUUACCCGCAGAAGAAGCACCGGCUAACUCCGUGCCAGCAGCCGCGGUAAUUC